UACGUAGGGGGCAAGCGUUGUCCGGAUUUACUGGGCGUAAAGCGCGUGUAGGCGGCUACGCAGGUCCGUUGUGAAAACUGGAGGCUCAACCUCCAGACGUCGACGGAAACCGUGUGGCUAGAGUCCGAAAGAGGAGAGUGGAAUUCCUGGUGUAGCGGUGAAAUGCGCAGAUAUCAGGAAGAACACCAAUGGCGAAGGCAGCUCUCUGGGACGGUACUGACGCUGAGACGCGAAAGCGUGGGGAGCGAACAGG
rnacentral:rRNA from 1 species